GGCGAACGCUGGCGGCGGGCUUAACACAUGCAAGUCGAACGGAAAGGCCCUGCUUUUGUGGGGUGCCCGAGUGGCGAACGGGUGAGGAACAGGUGAGUAACCUGCCCUUGACUUUGGGAUAACAUCAGGAAAGUGGGGCUAAUACCGGAUAGGAGCCCCUGUUGGGUUGUGGGGGGGGGAAAUUUUCAGCGGUUGGGGAUGGAUGGGCGGCUGAUGGACUUGUUGGUUGGGUAGGGGUUUACCAAGGCUUUGACGGGUCCCCGGCAGGUGAGGGUGACCGGGCACAUUGGGACUGAGAUACGGACCAGUCUCCUACGUGAGGCAGCAGUGGGGAAUCUUGCACAAUGGGCGGAAGCCUGAUGCAGCAACGCCGCGUGCGGGAUGACGGCUUUCGGGUUGUAAACCGCUUUCGCCUGUGACGAAGCGUGAGUGACGGUAAUGGGUAAAGAAGCACCGGCUAACUACGUG
rnacentral:rRNA from 1 species